rnacentral:rRNA from 1 species
GCCCGGGGACAGGGGGAAAUUGCCAAUGGGGAAAGCCUGAUGCAGGACCGCUGAGGGAUGACGGCCUUCGGGUUGUAACCUCUUUCGCAGGGAAGAAGCGAAAGUGACGGUACCUGCAGAAGAAGCGCCGGCUAACUACGUGCCAGCAGCCGCGGUAAUACGUAGGGCGCAAGCGUUGUCCGGAAUUAUUGGGCGUAAAGAGCUCGUAGGCGGCUUGUCAGUCGGUUGUGAAAGCCCGGGGCUUAACCCCGGGUCUGCAGUCGAUACGGGCAGGCUAGAGUUCGGUAGGGGAGAUCGGAAUUCCUGGUGUAGCGGUGAAAUGCGCAGAUAUCAGGAGGAACACCGGUGGCGAAGGCGGAUCUCUGGGCCGAUACUGACGCUGAGGAGCGAAAGCGUGGGGAGCGAACAGGAUUAGAUACCCUGGUAGUCCACGCCGUAAACGGUGGGCACUAGGUGUGGGCAACAUUCCACGUUGUCCGUGCCGCAGCUAACGCAUUAAGUGCCCCGCCUGGGGAGUACGGCCGCAAGGCUAAAACUCAAAGGAAUUGACGGGGGCCCGCACAAGCGGCGGAGCAUGUGGCUUAAUUCGACGCAACGCGAAACCUUACCAAGGCUUGACAUACACCGGAACGGCCAGAGAUGGUCGCCCCCUUGUGGUCGGGUAGGUGGUGCAUGGCUGUCUCACUCGUC